UUGAUCCCUGGCUCAGAUUGAACGCUGGCGGCAGGCCUAACACAUGCCAAGUCGAGCGGAUGACAGGAGCUUGCUCCUGAAUUCAGCGGCGGACGGGUGAGUAAUGCCUAGGAAUCUGCCUGGUAGUGGGGGACAACGUUUCGAAAGGAACGCUAAUACCGCAUACGUCCUACGGGAGAAAGCAGGGGACCUUCGGGCCUUGCGCUAUCAGAUGAGCCUAGGUCGGAUUAGCUAGUUGGUGAGGUAAUGGCUCACCAAGGCGACGAUCCGUAACUGGUCUGAGAGGAUGAUCAGUCACACUGGAACUGAGACACGGUCCAGACUCCUACGGGAGGCAGCAGUGGGGAAUAUUGGACAAUGGGCGAAAGCCUGAUCCAGCCAUGCCGCGUGUGUGAAGAAGGUCUUCGGAUUGUAAAGCACUUUAAGUUGGGAGGAAGGGCAUUAACCUAAUACGUUAGUGUUUUGACGUUACCGACAGAAUAAGCACCGGCUAAC
rnacentral:rRNA from 1 species